UGCGUGAGAAGAGAAAUAUAGACAUGAAAUGAAAGAGAUGUAUAAUGCCUGAGAGGUGGAUUAGUUUGAGAGGGUGUUCCUCAUCCAAUGCUUGGGGGGGUGGGGGGGGUUGUAAAAAUGCUAAACACCACAGCCUAUAAGUACGCACACCUCUGAUGCACACACAGUGCCUGACUGACAUCAAACACGAAAACAUGAACUUCAUGAAGGGAGCAGAUGGGCAGGUGGACAAGAUUAUCGAUCAGGCUGCUGAGGUGGCCAAAGAGAAAGUUGGAGGAAUAAUCGGAGGAGACAAGAAAAAGGCAGGAGGUGCAAAAAGCCAGAAAGAGGGUGGAGGUGUUGGAGAUAUGUUGAGCGGCGCAAUCGGCAAAGCUGCUACAGACGCUGCAGCAAAAAGUGCCGCUGAUCAGGCUAUGGACAUUGGGAAGAGCCUGUUCAAGUGAGCCUGCUUACUUUGAACAUGAUCACACUUUCUCCCUCAUCACUGGAUUCUAAUUGGACCACACAAUCUUGCAGUUUUAAAACUUUAUAUGGCAGCACUGAAUGUUUCUCCAGAGGCUGUACGUUUUAUGUCGUCUUGAAAGAGGCAAUGCCUAUAUUUCUGUACCUUUUGAGAUUUUUAAAUUUAGAAAAUCAUUUCCGAAUGCAUUUCUAUUAUAAUUAUUAUUUAAACAAAACCAAUAAAAUUGAUGCUUAACAUGGAAAUAAAGAAAUAAAGAGCUGUUGCUCAGUGAGAGAUUGAGUUAUCUUACAAGUCAAAGUUGUUGUUUUUUUGGCUAAUGUUUGAAAUGAUUUCUGUGAUCUUGUCAAACAUGAUGUCAUGUUUUAAGAUAAGACAAACCGGCUUAUAACACAAAACAUCACAGAAUUAAUAAAAUUCAUUACUAAUACUUACUGGUGUUUGUGCUGUUGUUAUCCGACCAAAAUGGUGUCACUUCUGAGG
rnacentral:lncRNA from 1 species